ACGGUCCUAAGGUAGCGAAAUUCCUUGUCGGGUAAGUUCCGACCUGCACGAAUGGCGUAACGAUCUCCACACUGUCUCGGCCAGAGACUCGGUGAAAUUGAAGUCGCGGUGAAAAUGCCGUGUACCCGCAGAAAGACGGAAAGACCCUGUGCACCUUUACUAUAGCUUGACAUUGGGAUUUGAGCCUGCAUGUGUAGCAUAGGUGGGAGGCUGUGAACUCUGUACGCCAGUAUGGAGGGAGCCAUCGUUGAAAUACCACCCUUGUUUGUUCAGGUCCCUAACUCCUUGCCGUUACCCGGUAGGAGGACAGUGUCUGGUGGGUAGUUUGACUGGGGCGGUCGCCUCCCAAAAUGUAACGGAGGCAUGCAAAGGUUCCCUCAGGCUGAUUGGAAACCAGCCGUCGAGUGCAAACGCAAAAGGGAGCUUGACUGCAAGAGAGACAUCUCGAGCAGAAACGAAAGUUGGCGUUAGUGAUCCGGUGGUCCCGAAUGGAAGGGCCAUCGCUCAUUGGAUAAAAGGUACGCCGGGGAUAACAGGCUGAUCGCAUCCAAGAGUUCACAUCGACGAUGCGGUUUGGCACCUCGAUGUCGGCUCAUCACAUCCUGGGGCUGAAUUCGGUCCCAAGGGUUCGGCUGUUCGCCGAUUAAAGUGGCACGCGAGCUGGGUUCAGAACGUCGUGAGACAGUUCGGUCCCUAUCUGUUGCGGGCGUAAGAGAUUUGAAGGGAGCUGUCCUUAGUACGAGAGGACCGGGAUGGACGUACCUCUGGUGCACCAGUUGUCCUGCCAAGGGCAUAGCUGGGUAGCUAUGUACGGACGAGAUAAACGCUGAAAGCAUCUAAGCGUGAAACUCCCCCUAAGAUGAGAUCUCUCAUCCAUUAUGGAGUAAGGGCCCAGAAAGACGAUCUGGUUGAUAGGCCGGAGGUGGAAGUGCAGUAAUGUAUGGAGCUGACCGGUACUAAUAGCCCGAGGGCUUGACCUA
rnacentral:rRNA from 1 species